rnacentral:lncRNA from 1 species
GUGGCUAUAAAAAGGCAUGGGCAUCGGGUGUCCGAGGCAUUCAGAUUGACUUUCUAAUUUUUAUCCAUUGCUCUCCCUUCUUUCUUACAACCUAUCUUAGUUUUAGGACAAGACUUUAGGAUUUAAGACAAAGCCUUAUCUAGUCCAAACAAGGGUUAUGAGGAUCCUAAAGAAGGAGAAUCAGAAGUCUAGAGAAGAUUCUGAGAGGGUCGAGUAAGGUUCUUGGAGAAAUCUGACUAA